rnacentral:lncRNA from 1 species
UUCCUUUCUGUCUCUCUCGCUGUCGCCUCUCUCACUAUUUCUAUUUCUGAUAUUUUUAUUUUUCACUCAUAAUAAUAAUAAAGCUCUGCCCCGUUUUAAGUGUUUUAAUCCCUGAUCACUGAUACCCUGUCCGAUUGAUCUGGGCCCCAGAACGCAUGUCAAGGCUCUGUCCGACUAAGUUCGUUGGGGUUCUGUCUCGUGACGUAGUGAUAAAGUUGAAUUGGGAGCCUUUCUAAUUGAACCCUAAAGUUACAAAGUGAGUCAUUUUCCUUUUUAUCACCUUUUUGUGAUACAUUUAUAUUUAAAAUUGCUUUGCAAAAGCUAUGAUUAUUAUAGACUUAUAUUUACCCUACAAAAACUUAUAUUUAUUAUCUCUUUUUGGUAAACAUAAGUUUUCAUAAUAUUAUGCUCUAGUCAAAACAACUUUAAUAUAUAAAAUUUCCAUAUGACUUUGUAAUAAUAUAACACCUAAAGUCGCUUAAACUUAUGUAAUACUUGAAAGAUAUUUAAUGGGGUGUUAAUAUAAAUUAACAUAGACUUUAAUUUGUAUUUAGUUAAUCUAUAUAUAGCUUAUCCUAUGGGUCAUGAUAAAAAGUUACACUUAUAUAUAAGAGAUUGUACCAUUUAAUUAAUGGUAUCCCAGUACGAGUAUAUCUUUAAUUACACCAUAUAUGUAAUUUAGGUAUUUAAUAUAUUGAACUUGUAAACUUCUAGUCGAAAUAUAUUAAAUAAAAAUAUCAUAUUUAUU